UUUCAAUCAUAUAUAUAUAUAUAUAUUGCUAUAUGGGCUUAACAUUUAUUACACCUCAUGAAUGAAGAUUGAAAUGAUCCCGGGAAUUAUAUUAUCAUUAAAUAUCACAUGCGUUCUAUGUUCAGAUUGAAGGAGGUGCUGCAGAAGGUGGUAGAGGCCUUAGUGUCUGGGACGUUUUCACUUUGAGGACUCCAGGCAAUAUUUUGGAUGGAUCCAAUGGGAAUGUAGCCGUCGAUAUGUACACGAAAUAUAAGGAAGAUAUUAAGAUGAUGAAGAGAAUGGGGUUGAUGCUUACAGAUUUUCGAUAUCUUGGCCAAGAAUAUUGCCGGGUGGAAAACUUUGCCUUGCUAUCAAUAGAGAAGGAAUCGACUUCUACAAUGAUAUAUCAACACUCGCAAAGAUUUUGAAAUGGAGCCCUAUGUGACUCUCUUUCACUGGGAUACUCCUUAUGCUUUGGAACAAGAGUAUGGUGGCUUCUUAAGUCAAGACAUUGUGUAAGCACUUCAGUUUCAAUUUGUCUCACUUCAUCUACUCAACUUCUUGUAUAAUUGUAAAUAUAAUUUGUCUACUCAAUUUGUCUCAAUUUGUCUACUCAACUUCUUGUAUAACUUCAUCUACUCAAUUUGU